AGUGAACGCUGGCGGUAGGCCUAACACAUGCAAGUCGAACGGCAGCACAGUAAGAGCUUGCUCUUACGGGUGGCGAGUGGCGGACGGGUGAGGAAUACAUCAGAAUCUACUUUUUCGUGGGGGAUAACGUAGGGAAACUUACGCUAAUACCGCAUACGACCUACGGGUGAAAGCAGGGGAUCUUCGGACCUUGCGCGAUUGAAUGAGCCGAUGUCGGAUUAGCUAGUUGGCGGGGUAAAGGCCCACCAAGGCGACGAUCCGUAGCUGGUCUGAGAGGAUGAUCAGCCACACUGGAACUGGGACACGGUCCAGACUCCUACGGGAGGCAGCAGUGGGGAAUAUUGGACAAUGGGCGCAAGCCUGAUCCAGCCAUACCGCGUGGGUGAAGAAGGCCUUCGGGUUGUAAAGCCCUUUUGUUGGGAAAGAAAAGCAGCAGGUUAAUACCCCGCUGUUCUGACGGUACCCAAAGAAUAAGCACCGGCUAACCUCGUG
rnacentral:rRNA from 1 species